UUCGGCAGCCUCAGCUUGCUGUGGAAACCAAAUAUUUUGACUCUGCUGUUUAUUCCCGGUUUUUAAAGUGUGUUCUGAGUGAAUAACAAAUAUGUUUUGUGAGGCAGCUGGUGCUUCUUCCUGUAACGUACAAGCUCAUCGUGCUCGGGGAGGAAAGGCUGCUGUGAAGAGGGGGUGAGCUGUGUAUCCCAACCUCUGCUCUAUCAACAGGACACAUCUCAAGCUCAGUCCCCAAGGCUGAGUCUGCUGCCAGUUCUGGAGCUGCCAACCCCCUCAUGGCAGAUUUCCUGGCUGGGGCUCCAGGAACACUGCUGUGGAGCAAUGGGCUGUAGGAAACGGUGACAUAUGGCACCCCAGCGUGUGGUGGUUUCAUCGACACAGGGGUGACAAAAGACCAUGGCAGGAACACCAACACCCAACUCGUCGUGCCAGACCUGGAGACAGAAACCUGGAAAAGUGCCAAACACGGAGGACACGAAGCACCAUGGACCAUGGGAAUGCAUCCAUCUCUAGGAAAGCACCCAGGGGAUGAUGGACACCCCUCAAAGCCUGCUUGGAUAAAAGGAAAAAAUGGUUUUCAUCCCUGUGCUGAGCCAGAGAGAAC